UACAGAGGUGGCAAGCGUUGUUCGGAAUUACUGGGCGUAAAGGGCGCGUAGGCGGUUCGUUAAGUCCUGUGUGAAAUCCCCCGGCUCAACUGGGGAACUGCACAGGAAACUAGCGGGCUUGGGUUCGGGAGAGGGAAGCGGAAUUCCGGGUGUAGCGGUGAAAUGCGUAGAUAUCCGGAGGAACACCGGUGGCGAAGGCGGCUUCCUGGACCGACACUGACGCUGAGGCGCGAAAGCUAGGGGAGCAAACGGG
rnacentral:rRNA from 1 species